rnacentral:lncRNA from 1 species
CGCGCCUCCUCUUCUAAUUCUUGCCACAACGCCCGCACGCCCUGUUCCCCCCACCCCGGUGAAGGUGGGUUCCAACCCGAGGUUUGCGGGGGUGGCUCCAAUGUGCCCGCGUCCGCGCACUCACCUGAUUCAAACUCCCCCACAGUCUGUGUAGCCGCCCUGAUCUUUGAUACCCCACUGGGAACUUACGACCUUCGCGAGUUCUUUCAUGGUCUUCGCCGGUCCGGAGACAUCUCCCCCACUGCACUAGUCCAGCUGUGCAGUCGCUGGGUCCUGGUCAGGCGAACCCCGAAAUCUGGGCGAUUGUUUCCCGGGUUUCGGCACCACUUGUUGCGCAGAGACCUGGUUCAGUGAGCUCAGCACGGCGGCUUUCAGACUAAAGUCACUCGGUCCAUUUAGCUCCAGACACCAACGUGGUGGACAGCAACAUGGCGUUUAUUCAGGGGUAACAGGGGGUUUUAUGGCUUUAGGUAGCUUGUGUCAUUUCCUCUAGCUCAUGUCCGGCUAGGGGGGCUGCCAGGUACAGAGCUGGGGUCUGACCACAAGGGGGAAGGGGUCACUAGCUGCCCGUAACAACCCGAGGUCUUCCGCACGCACUGUCCCUAUCUCUCUACACUGGUCUGUACUGGUCCAUACUGGUCCAUACUGGUCUAUACUGGUCCAUACUGAUCCAUACUGGUCCAUAUUGGUCUAUACUGGUUUUUACUGGUCUAUACUGCUCAAUACUGGUUUGUACUGGUCCAUACUGGCCCAAAAUCUCCGAGCGGCCAGAAUUUCACAGAGGCCCCUGCUCGAACUUUCUGCUUCCCAAAUCCUCCUGAGUGACUCCAACCCAGCACUCUUUCCAUCCCAAGGCAGAUAAAAAUCAGCUGGGGCCGAGCAGGGCCCAUCUACAGCUCUGUGUUUAUUUUUAAUCGGGUGGCUCAAAACUGAGUCGGGCCCCACCAGUUCCUGGAAAUUUAAUCCACAAUCCCUUCCUUCUCUGGAGCUACCGAGCAGCAGCUCCCUGACCCCAGAGGCAGAGCCCUGUCCGUGCAGCUGGGACACAGCCUCGGGAUUUGCUGCCUCUGCCGCUGGAAAAGCUGCAAAACCCAAGGGAAACGCUCCAGCAUCGCCGCCGCCUCCUCAGUCACGGCCCCGAUUUUCAGCAGCUCCUCCUCGUCCUCGUCCCCCAGCUCGCCCCGGGCCAGCGCCGGCCCCGCCUCGGCUUUCCGGGCCACCCGCAGCUCCUCCAGGGCCGCCCGAGCCCGGCCCAGCUCGGCCUCGGCCGCGGCCAGCGCGGCGGGGACGCCGCUCGGGGUCCCCAAGGCUCUGGCCAGGACCAGCAGCGCCCCCAGGGCCCGGGGGCGAGCGGCGCUGGCCCGGGCCAGCUCGGGGGGAGGGGCGGGGGGGGGGGGGGGGGGGGGGGGGGGGGGGGGGGGGGGGGGGGGGGGGGGGGGGGGGGGGGGGGGGGGGGGGGGGGGGGGGGGGGGGG